CCUACGGGAUGCAGCAGUGGGGAAUAUUGCACAAUGGGGGAAACCCUGAUGCAGCGACGCCGCGUGAGUGAAGAAGUAUUUCGGUAUGUAAAGCUCUAUCAGCAGGGAAGAAGAAAGACGGUACCUGACUCAGAAGCCCCGGCUAACUACGUGCCAGCAGCCGCGGUAAUACGUAGGGGGCAAGCGUUAUCCGGAUUUACUGGGUGUAAAGGGAGCGUAGACGGCUGUGCAAGUCUGAAGUGAAAGCCCAGGGCUCAACCCUGGGACUGCUUUGGAAACUGUGGAGCUAGAGUGCUGGAGAGGUAAGUGGAAUUCCUAGUGUAGCGGUGAAAUGCGUAGAUAUUAGGAGGAACACCAGUGGCGAAGGCGGCUUACUGGACAGUAACUGACGUUGAGGCUCGAAAGCGUGGGGAGCAAACAGGAUUAGAUACCCUUGUAGUC
rnacentral:rRNA from 1 species